ACUGCCAUACCAUCAACUCCCACCUCUGACACCGUGAGCCAACAUAAUAAAUCCGGAGGCAUUACUUUUGGAGCAAAGGAAAAAAUGAACCCAGUUAAAAAUGCCUUCUGGGGAUGUUGCAGUACAAAAGUGAAGAAAGCCUUACCAGCACUCUUAGAAACAUUUAUUGCUUUUAUUGUUCACAUUGCAAUGUGCUUUUCUGUGAGAGUUCUUCAUUUUACAUAAAUUUGAGGAGAUAGAGUAACAAAAAAGAAACCAAAAAAAAAAACCAAAAAGCACAUGCUUUUCUUCAUUAACUAAUACAAUAAUUACUUGGGUAUUUAAAAAAGGAAAAUUAAGAUGGACAAGGUGAAAAGCCAUUUAAACCAGCUGUACACACUACUUUAUAUUAUCUAAGCUGUCCGUUUUUCUCUUGUUCUUACCAGUGGUUAUUCUUCCUCACACUUCCUUUAUCAGAAGGAGUUUGCAUUUCUUACUUGAUCUAGUAAGAACUUGAUCUUUAUCCUACUAUAUGAUCUAGUAGGAGGAUAAAGACAUAUUGCCAACAAUUCAGGAACCAUUAACUAAUAAAAAAUAGCCUGUAUUUGUAGAUCAAAGCUGGUCUUGAACAUCACCAGGAUAUACGGCUGCAGGAAGCUCAGGAAUGUUCCAGGUAGGGAAAUUAUUUUCUCCAGGCUAUUUUCUUUUCCUGAAGAUAAUGUGUAAAUCCUGUAAAAAGGAGUGGCUGCUUCUCAUUUUUCUGACACUUGUAUUUUGUCUUUGUGUCAUUUAGUGUGUGUAAGAGGAAAGAAAUCCAAGAAGUGGCAGUGGGAAAUUAACAGAGAUGAGGUCAGAGCUGAGUCAUGCUCUACCUGUUCACCUUGGGUCUGUUACUGUUCUAUAUAGCUCCAAAAUACAGUGCCACAUAACUUAAAAUAGGACAUACCUUAAAUUCAUUAAUGUCUUAUCUGCUUAGUAGGAUUCAUCAUGAUACUUUAGUAGUUUGCCUUUACAGUGAAGAAAUGAAGUCAUUUCUGAAAAUACAGACUGAACAAAGUCAGCAGAGCUGUAAGGUGGCCACACACUGCCUUGCCUCCAGAAGGCAGACUGCAGCACCGUCCAAGAGCAUGCUCUGGGAUAUAGGCAACCAGAAGAGUGGUUUCUUGUUGCAGAAGAAAAACAGGAGACAAAAAGGCAUAUCAAUGGAGAUUUCAGGGUAAGGUCCUGUGGUUAAGGCUUAUUCAGUACCCUAAUCUCUUAACGUGUUCUUUCGUUUGUUUGUUUUCCAACAGUUUUGAAGUAAAACAUUCCUGAUGCUAUCAUACUGAGUAAUAGACUCAGCAGCUGAAACAGAAGAUGAAGGAUGUUGUUAUUUUUACAGAUAAACCUCUUCACAACCUGAUCCUUUGUUGGUCUGUCAGAGUCCACUUGGAAAUAUGCUUGAAAGUUCCUGAUUGAAGUGACUGAUUGAUAAAGCAAGAGCAGCCAUCAUUGCCUCUCAGAUGUGGCUGAUAAGUAGAAAAUCUCCAUCUACAAACAGGAAACUGAAGCAAAAAAAGGAAAGAAUAACCACAAUUUGACAUAGAAAUGACUUGUAUCACCUCAAAAUAGGAAUGAAGGUGUCACAGGAAUCUUGCAGAUGUGUUCUGUCAUCAUCUUCAGUUUUCCCACUCCUUUCCAGAAGGGAAAAAUCAGAAGUCUCAAGUUACUCUGCUGUGGGAUUUGUGAGAAGGGAUGGUACAAUGGGAGCGGAUCUCCCACUGGAGCAGAAGCCAGCCAUUUUUUCUGGACACAACAAGUUUCUCCUUGAGCAGAGAUCAAGAGGCCUCUAGGGGUCACUUCCAGACUCAGCCAUUCCGUGAUGUUGUGAUUCCAUGGUUCAUGGAUUAAAACAGAGGUACAGCUCUUUGAAAGGAAAACAAAGGAAGAAAAUAUCCGCUGACAACACAAAAAGAAAAGAAAGAAAGAAAACGUCGUAAGAGUCUGAGGAAUAAUGUUCAGGACUUCUCUAAGAGCUCAGAUUUGUGCAGACAGGAAGGUUUCAUGCUUUUCAUCGAACCUCCAGAAAUAUAGUUUUCAGAUGAACUGGGAUAAAGCCAGUGUACAUAAACCAGAGGAUUUGAAAAAAAGCCCAAAUGUGGACUCAGGAUCAGAUUAAUGUACUUCAAUAAUGUAUAAAUCAAGUGUCUAAUAUUCACUCAACCUGAAUAUUUUUUUAAAUUUAAACAGUACUUGAAUAUCCACCCAAGGCUCAUUUCUAGAAGUGGAAAAAAUCUCCCCUCCCCUCUUUCUAUGUUCUUCCAAACAAAAUCAAAACAUUCUGUGGUUUUACCUGCGUGCAAGCUGCUUUAUCAUUUGUAUCUGAGUGUAAGGAAGAGCUGCAUGGCACUGUGUAAGGAGGGUGAGGACUUCAGUGGAUGAAGUGGGUGCCCAGCUACAGAGAAGGGAGGAGUGGGUGAUAUGACAGCAACGUUAAAUGUAAUUGGACUGGAAAGGGAAAAAAACUAACGCUUGAGUAGGAGGAAAAAAGUUAAAUAACUACUGCUAGUAGUGAGCUACAUAAUUGCAGUGGAAUAAAUCAGAAAAAAGGUUAAUUCUGGGAUGGGAGCAGAUCUUGACUUUUUUUUUUCUGUGAGCUGCUCCAGUUCAUCAGCUUUGUAGCCUAAAUAAACUCUAAUGUGAGAACAGUCUUAAUUAUUAUCCAACCCUGGCUUCUUGGCCAUUGUCUAAACACUUAUCAUAAGCCAUGUUUAGACUGCAGCAAUAACUGUCUUUAUCUGCUGUACAGCCAGGGAACAAAAUGAAGCAGAAAUGAAUUAUUACUGAAGGUCAUGAAUCUACAUUACGUUCAUAAUUUGGCAGAGUUCCCAAAUACAUCCUAGUCCUUCCAUUCCCUACAUUCUAAAGGGUUUGCUAGUUUAGACCUCUGAAUUAACUCUAAAAUAAUUUUGCUUGUUGUCUGGAAUUAACCGCUCAAACUACUAACUACUACAAACUACUACCAUGAUUAUGGAGCUGCUUAAAGAGUUCUCAAAUUUUCACUUACCCUUGACUUAAAAACAUUGAGAACAUAUGACUCAAGGAACACUCGCAAGCACAUCAAGUACAAAAAUAAAAAAUAAAAUAUGAGAAGUAGUUUAUGGAAGAAAAAUCUGGAGAAAAAUAACAAAUUGACUGUUCUUUGUAAAUGUGGGAAGGGUCUGUUACAGUGUUUCAGUUAAAAGUCCAACACUCCAAAAUCCAGUGCUGAAUGAGGAGCUCCUUGAAAUAUUUUCUUACUAUUAAUGUGUUUUCUCAAUUCUUUUCCAGAUUUAACCAGAAAUUUUAAAGAUCAUUAUACAUGUAUUCCCAUUCCCAAAUCCUGCCCAGACAUUCAGACUGGAUUUAAAAUAGAAACUUAUCAGUAUGACAGUGUCUUCAGUGGGUCUAUUAGUUUGACUGCUUUUGUUGUCUUUAUACACGGGAAGUGAUCUAAAAUGAAGUAUGACAAUGGUAAAGUUCUUUGAUUGGAAUAAUCUAUUUCCUUAAGGAGAUUUGCAUAAUAUAUGUUACCAAACCUUGCUUAUUAUAAAAAUGCUCAUUGUGAAAUUAUGAAAUAAUUUUGAUUGGAAGUGAUCUCUGGAGCCUACUUAUGCCAACUUCCUGGACUAGUAAUGUGAGACUAACUGUAGCUUUAUCUUAGGUCACUGAGAAACCAGAAAUUCUCCAGAUGCCUCUUCCAGAUUUCUACCAGCCAUUGUGAACACUCUUUUUUCUCAUAUUUACAAUCAAGACUUCCCCUUCUGCAUUUGGUGUCCAUUGCCUCUGAGAGUUCAGCUAUAUCUUCUCUAGGCCUCCCCAAUUGCCACCAAGUGGAAGAUAGUAACUCAGUUCACCCCUAGGCUUCCUCUUUUCCACUGAACAAGCCUGGAGUUCCCUUAGAAACCCCCAGAACAGGUUCACUGCCCUCAUCUGACCUCCCAUCCAUUUGCACAUCUCUCUGAGAUCCCAGAAGACACAGAGUUUGACAUAACACUGCAGAGGUAGCAUUGUAAACAUCAAAUCAAUAGCCAUUAUCACUUCUCUUGACUUACAGCCCAAUGUGCCAUUAGUCUUUUUCCUGUAAUCACAUUUUAAGACCAGUGCUUAUGAAUAUAGAAAUCACUCUGAAUGUUAAAGAAUCAACUAACAACUUACUGAAAAUAUCUCAAAGCUAUACUUUUUCUCUGAGAAUCUGGUUUGUCAAAGUCUCUAAAUUGUGAGAGUGUAAACAUCUUUAUUCUUUCCUCAGAAUAUACUGAAUAUGAUGCAAAUUUUUCUGUUGUCUUUGCUUUAAAUUGAAUAUAUUUCACACUCUAUUUUAAAUUAUUUUCAACAGCAAUACCCACAGAAAAAAUGCUAGAUGAAAUUAGCCUGUUUGUCCCACCAGAUAUGAAACUUCCUCUCAGUCCCUCCCUUCCAGGAACACCUGAGGGAAUGCAGCUGAACUGCUUUGCUUAAUUAGUCAGUAUAUCUGAAUUUAGGAUGCAGUAGCACUCUUAGGACAAGCAGUAUAAAAGAGAGUUGGCAUUACUCAGGAGGAAAGGCUGCCUUACUGGAAGACUGUAUAGGGGAAUGAAUGAAUGUCAGCCUAAAUUAAGACCAUAGUAAGUAGAAGAUUAUAUUUAAUAUUGUAGGUGUUUUUUUGAAUCUCUGUAUUUAUAUGUUUGCUUACAAGGUGAAGUAUUGAAUUGAGGCAUACUGAUUUAAUCUGUUAAAGGCAUAUGUAGAUGGUUAUUCUGUGCUCUUCUUCACUUUUAUAAGUAUACAGCGUGUUGGCAUGGGUUGUGAUCUAUGUGGAACUCAGAUCACCAGACUUCUUACAUGCUGACUUAUACUUCCUCCUUUAUAAUGGCUAAGCUAUCUCUACAUAUACAUGUAUUUGUUUUACAGUUCAGACAAGGUUUAAUGUUUGUGGUUCUUUUUAAACAUGUCUACUACAAUUGUCUUGAAUUGCAACAGAUUCUAGAAUUUUCUUCCAUUUGUGUGCUCGGGUAGAUAUAUCUUAAUAUCUAGUACUCAAAUUCAUCAGGAUACGCCUUUUAGAUUGAAAAAGAAACAUAGCUAAAAAAUUACAAACACUUUCAGAGCUUAUACUUAUAAAAUGCACUAAAUCUAGAAAAUAUUUAUCAUCCUUGAUGUACCAACAUUCUAUUAAAUUCCUUCUUAUGAAGAAUAAGGCUAUACGGCUGAACCACAUGAAUACUUCAGUGUAUAAUGAAGUUUAUAGACUUUCUUCCAUUAUUUCAGUAGGUGAAACAUCCAGAUUUUAGUCCCUGGAUAAAGGCUCGAGCAUUGAAUCUAUUCCGCAGAGAAGCCAUUCAGGUACAGGAGGCAUCAGCACUGUCUCUUGUGGUCAAAGAUUAACUAAAUACUUAUAUAUUGUCUUCAUCUGCUGCCUACAUCCUUCCAGCCUUUAUCUAACCUCAGUUUAUCUUAUUCAGGGUGGGUUUAAGGACUUGUUAUACUUACCUUGCUAUCUUAUCGUAGUCAGUGCUUUGUCUUGGUAAGAAAGACAACACAGGAAGACUCUCCCUAAGAUGUACUGUAGUGCAAUAUAUACAUAGGCUAUUUUUUCCUAACUGUGCAUACUUCUAUGGGGACUACAGGAGCACAGAGCUGAGACUCCUGCACCAGCAUAGAAGGUGAGCUGUACCCUUUCCCACCUGCAGCUCUAUGGCCACUGAACUGAUGUGCACUGAUGUGGGUAAUGCUACCUCAUGUCCGUGAGCCAGCUUGGAAAGCUCUCUGCCCUAAUCUCCUAUAAAACCAGCUCCAGGCUGGUGAAAUGAUCAUUUGGUGACUACAGAUUAGCAGGAUUAUAUGGGGUUUUCUUUGGCCUAUUAGGUUUAAUUCACUGCAGGAUUUAGAUGGAAUUGGAAUGUUCAAAACUGAUCUUGUGAAAACACAGUCAACUUUGAUUUUUAACCUCUUUCGUGUCUUAGAAUAGCUCUUCAGUGUAGUGGCUAGGAGCUUCCUUCAGGGUGAGGUUUAAUCGUCUCUUGUAACUAAGUGGGACUUGUUCUCUCAUUUGUUGUUCUCACCUUAUAUUCUUUGUUCAAAGUGUCUUGAACUCCUUACCAAGGAACUAUUUAUCUUCUGGAUAGUGAGGUAGAAUUCUAAUCCUGGGGCUUGCAGGCACUGCUAUGUAAAUAUUUAAUAUCAAUAAUAAUGGCUUUUUUGGGGGAAAAGGGUGUGAAAUGCAUAAGAGUUACUGGCACUGCUAUUACAGUGCCCUGGACCCAAGCCAGAAGAUAUAGUAGAUGUUAGAGGAAGCGCACUUAGCCCCUUAAGUGUGACACUAAUGUGAGUACAGCAUAUUCCUUAUCAGUGCCUCUUCAAGUAGCAUGUAGUCAUUUUGUGGAUAGCACCAUCUCAGUGGAAGUUGUCACUCUCUAAUGGUUAAAUCUAAGGCUGAGUUGCAGGAAGGUGAUUUAAAAAUAACUUGAAAGAGACAACUGGAUUCAGAAAUUACGUUUAAUUUAUUACCAUCCAUGUGACUGAAGCUAUAAAAUGCAAGAUUCUAUAGGUGAGUUUAUUUUUCAGGUACUCAGCUUGUUUCUUCCACAGAGCUCUCUGUAAGGUAAGGUUUAAAACAAACAAACAAACAAAACCCCUGCAGAAUAAGAGAUACAUAUAUGUAUUUUAUAUAUACAUACACAUAUAUACAUAUGCACACACAAUUUAUCAGCAUCUUAAUGUCUAUCAGGGGAAAUUCUUCUAUAUUCACUAGCCCAAAGACCUUCUAAGACAAGUGUUGUCUUUCUAAGGCUUUAAUUGAAGUACAGUUAAUCUUUUGACAGGAAAACUAAUAAACAAAGAAAAUAAAU